UUUUCUGUCCUGUAGGCACUAGCUUAGUUAACACUCAACAUGGACUGAAAAUCUUGUCACAAAAGGAAAUGGGCAAAUUGCUGGAGGGACUUCACUACACUACUAGACAGACCAGAUUUCAUUAUGAUGAAAGAAUUGUUUGGAAGACCGUAUCAUGACACCAACUUGUUUGACAGUGUCUAUUGCUGACAAAUCACUGACCGCAAAUCCCAAAUGAAGACCAGGAACAAACAUGGAUAUGGAAAAGACCUUUCUAGCUGUAUUGCAAAGGCCAGUGAGACACCUACCAAGCUGUGGACAAUUUAGUGUCUUGAGUUUGCACUGCUUCACUGGAUGCUUCUGUAGUAAACUUGAUUAUUGAAUCCUUUAACCUAAACUUGAUUCACAUGUAUUUUUAAAAAUCUGUUUUGGAGGAUUUAAUGGAAUGAGUCAACUUCUAAUCAACAGGAAACUUCAGGGUGAACUGCUACAUUGGCUUCAUGAUUGACUCAAUUGUAUACUAGGAGCCCUGGAAAAUACCUUCUGAAGUUAUUUGAGAACUUUGACAGUCAU